rnacentral:rRNA from 1 species
GACGAACGCUGGCGGCGUGCUUAACACAUGCAAGUCGAACGGAAAGGCCCUGCUUUUGUGGGGUGCUCGAGUGGCGAACGGGUGUGUAACACGGGAGUAACCUGCCCUUGACUGUGGGAUAACUUCAGGAAACUGGGGCUAAUACCGUAUAGGAGCUCCUGCUGCAUGGUGGGGGUUGGAAAGUUUCGUCGGUUGGGGAUGGACUCGCGGCUUAUCAGCUGGUGGGUGGGGUAGUGGCUUACCAAGGCUUUGACGGGUAGCCGGCCAGAGAGGGUGACCGGCCACAUUGGGACUGAGAUACGGCCAAGACUCCUACGGGAGGAAGCAGUGGGGAAGAUUGAACAAUGGGCGGAAGCCUGAUGCAGGAACGCCGCGUGCGGGAUGACGGCCUUCGGGUUGUAACCCGCUUUCGCCUGUGACGAAGCGUGAGUGACGGUAAUGGGUAAAGAAGCACCGGCUAACUACGUG